rnacentral:misc_RNA from 1 species
GAUGAAGAACGUAGCGAAAUGCGAUAAGUAAUGUGAAUUGCAGAAUUCAGUGAAUCAUCGAGUUUUUGAACGCAUAUUGCGCCCUCUGGUGUUCCGGGGGGCAUGCCUGUUCGAGCGUCAUUAAAUAACCCUCAAGCAUAGCUUGGUGUUGGGCUUUUUUACGUCCUUGACUGGGAUGGGCCUAAAAAUUAGUGGCGAUGGCUUUUUUACUUUCAAGCGUAGUAAAUCUCGUCUUGCUAAAGAGGAAAAAGAUUUUUUUUCUGCCAAAAAUUUUAACAUUUAAAGUUGACCUCGGAUCAGGUAGGAUUACCCGCUGAACUUAAGCAUAUCAAUAAGCGGAGGA